rnacentral:rRNA from 1 species
CAGCGGUUAGGAGCUUACACCCACCCGUGUCUACAUACUAUUGUUGCUUUGGCGGGCCGUGGCCUCCACUGCGGGCUCUGCUCGUGUGUGCCCGCCAGAGAACCAAACUCUGAAUGUUAGUGAUGUCUGAGUACUAUCUAAUAGUUAAAACUUUCAACAACGGAUCUCUUGGUUCUGGCAUCGAUGAAGAACGCAGCGAAAUGCGAUAAGUAAUGUGAAUUGCAGAAUUCAGUGAAUCAUCGAAUCUUUGAACGCACAUUGCGCCCUGUGGUAUUCCGCAGGGCAUGCCUGUUCGAGCGUCAUUUAACCACUCACGCCUAGCGUGGUAUUGGGGCACGCGGUCUCCGCGGCCCUCAAAAUCAGUGGCGGCGCCGGUGGGCUCUAAGCGUAGUACAUACUCCCGCUAUAGAGUUCCCCCGGUGGCUCGCCAGAACCCCCAAUUUUUACAGGUUGACCUCGGAUCAGGUAGGGAUACCCGCUGAACUUAAGCAUAUCA